rnacentral:misc_RNA from 1 species
UGUGGGAGCGAGCUUGCUCGCGAUGAGGCCAUGACAUUCAGCAUCAAUGUUGCUGUCAGGCCGCCAUCGCGAGCAAGCUCGCUCCCACA